rnacentral:rRNA from 1 species
AGCAGUCGCCACGGGAAAACGGAGGGAGCUAGCGUUGUUCGGAAUUACUGGGCGUAAAGCGCGCGUAGGCGGUUACUCAAGUCAGAGGUGAAAGCCCGGGGCUCAACCCCGGAACUGCCUUUGAAACUAGGUGACUAGAAUCUUGGAGAGGUCAGUGGAAUUCCGAGUGUAGAGGUGAAAUUCGUAGAUAUUCGGAAGAACACCAGUGGCGAAGGCGACUGACUGGACAAGUAUUGACGCUGAGGUGCGAAAGCGUGGGGAGCAAACAGGAUUAGAGACCCCGGUAGUCCCUGUCUCUUACAC